rnacentral:misc_RNA from 1 species
AAGUCGUAACAAGGUUUCCGUAGGUGAACCUGCGGAAGGAUCAUUACCGAGUGUAGGGUUCCUAGCGAGCCCAACCUCCCACCCGUGUUUACUGUAACCUUAGUUGCUUCGGCGGGCCCGCCGUUUACGGCCGCCGGGGGGCAUCAGCCCCCGGGCCCGCGCCCGCCGGAGACACCACGAACUCUGUCUGAUCUAGUGAAGUCUGAGUUGAUUGUAUCGCAAUCAGUUAAAACUUUCAACAAUGGAUCUCUUGGUUCCG